GAUGAACGCUCGCGGGAGGCCUAACACAUGCAAGCCGAGCGGUAUUUGUUCUUCGGAACAGAGAGAGCGGCGCACGGGUGCGGAACACGUGUGCAACCUGCCUUCAUCUGGGGGAUAGCCUUUCGAAAGGAAGAUUAAUACCCCAUAAUAUAUUGAGUGGCAUCACUUGAUAUUGAAAACUCCGGUGGAUAGAGAUGGGCACGCGCAAGAUUAGAUAGUUGGUGAGGUAACGGCUCACCAAGUCAAUGAUCUUUAGGGGGCCUGAGAGGGUGAUCCCCCACACUGGUACUGAGACACGGACCAGACUCCUACGGGAGGCAGCAGUGAGGAAUAUUGGACAAUGGGUUAGCGCCUGAUCCAGCCAUCCCGCGUGAAGGACGACGGCCCUAUGGGUUGUAAACUUCUUUUGUAUAGGGAUAAACCUACUCUCGUGAGAGUAGCUGAAGGUACUAUACGAAUAAGCACCGGCUAACUCCGUG
rnacentral:rRNA from 1 species